UACGUAGGGUGCGAGCGUUAAUCGGAAUUACUGGGCGUAAAGCGUGCGCAGGCGGUUCGACAAGUCCGAUGUGAAAGCCCCGGGCUCAACCUGGGAAUGGCAUUGGAAACUGGCGAGCUUGAGUGUGGCAGAGGGGGGUGGAAUUCCGCGUGUAGCAGUGAAAUGCGUAGAGAUGCGGAGGAACACCGAUGGCGAAGGCAGCCCCCUGGGCUAACACUGACGCUCAUGCACGAAAGCGUGGGGAGCAAACAGG
rnacentral:rRNA from 1 species